rnacentral:rRNA from 1 species
UACGGAGGGUGCAAGCGUUAUCCGGAAUCACUGGGUUUAAAGGGUGCGUAGGCGGCCCGAUAAGUCAGUCGUGAAAUCGCUGGGCUCAACCCAUGCAAUUGCGAUUGAUACUGUUGGACUUGAAUUAGGUUGAGGCUGGCGGAAUGCGACAUGUAGCGGUGAAAUGCUUAGAUAUGUCGCAGAACACCGAUUGCGAAGGCAGCCAGCUGGGCCUAUAUUGACGCUGAGGCACGAAAGCGUGGGGAGCAAA